CAAGCCAACCAAGGAAGGAAACAAGGGGAGGACCUUUCCCGAGGCCUCUGAUUGGUCAGCUUGCACAGAGCGGAGUCCGACGAGGGAAGAUGGCGGGCCGCAGGCUCGCGGGGACCCUCUGAUGGAGCAGUGGGUGCCUGUGACCCCUGAGACCCUCUCAGAGGCGCUGAUAUGUGCCGAAAUGCCCACUCCAAACCGGGCCCCGCACUGUCUGCAGCCACAGAAGAGGUAAGGAGAGCUGGCUGCAAGCUCAGAUCUCUUUGAAAGAGUUUAUGAGUGUGUUUACUUCAGGAAUGCCGAUCCCCUAAACUCAGCAAGACCAAUGAGAUGGAAGAAGCAGCUUGUGGAGACACUGCUUGGAUACAGCCACUGACCUACUCAGCUGG
rnacentral:lncRNA from 1 species